AUUGAACGCUGCGGCAGGCCUAACACAUGCAAGUCGAGCGGAUGAAGGGAGCUUGCUCCUGGAUUCAGCGGCGGACGGGUGAGUAAUGCCUAGGAAUCUGCCUGGUAGUGGGGGAUAACGUCCGGAAACGGGCGCUAAUACCGCAUACGUCCUGAGGGAGAAAGUGGGGGAUCUUCGGACCUCACGCUAUCAGAUGAGCCUAGGUCGGAUUAGCUAGUUGGUGGGGUAAAGGCCUACCAAGGCGACGAUCCGUAACUGGUCUGAGAGGAUGAUCAGUCACACUGGAACUGAGACACGGUCCAGACUCCUACGGGAGGCAGCAGUGGGGAAUAUUGGACAAUGGGCGAAAGCCUGAUCCAGCCAUGCCGCGUGUGUGAAGAAGGUCUUCGGAUUGUAAAGCACUUUAAGUUGGGAGGAAGGGCAGUAAGUUAAUACCUUGCUGUUUUGACGUUACCAACAGAAUAGCACCGGCACUC
rnacentral:rRNA from 1 species